GACGAACGCUGGCGGCGUGCUUAACACAUGCAAGUCGAACGGAAAGGCCCUGCUUGCGGGGUACUCUAGUGGCGAACGGGUGUGUGACACGUGGGUGUUCUGCCCUGCACUUCGUGAUAAGCCUGGGGAACAGGGUCUAAUACCGGAUAGGAGCCAUCUUUAGUGUGAUGGUUGGAAAGUUUUUUUGGUGUAGGGUGAGCUCGCCGGCUAAUUGGCUGUUGGUGGGGUAAUGGCCUACCUAGGCGGCGGCGGGGAGGCGGCCUGGGGGGGUGGACGGCCCAAAUUGGGCCGGAGUAAGGCCCCGGCUUCUACGGGGGGCAGGAGGGGGGAAUAUUGCACAAUGGGCGCGAGGCUGAUGCAGGGACGCCGCGUGGCGGAUGACCGGCUUCGGGUUGGAAACUCCUUUCGCUAGGGACGGAGCUGUUUGUGACGGUACCUAGAUAAGAAGCACCGGCUAACUACGUG
rnacentral:rRNA from 1 species